AUAAGAGACAGCCUCCAGCUCUUUUUCACUGAAUCAAAUGUGGAGUUCCGGUGUGAGUGCUGUGAGGGUCGGGUGUCAACCUUGAGGUGUCAUUUCCACACUCUGCCUCAGGUGUUGAUCCUCCACCUCAAGAGGUUCUGUCCCCUGACCCUCGCCAAACAACACCAGGCGGUCACACUGGACCCCAUUCUGGACCUG